rnacentral:rRNA from 1 species
GAUGAACGCUGGCGGCGUGCCUAAUACAUGCCAGUCGAGCGAACGGACGAGAAGCUUGCUUCUCUGAUGUUAGCGGCGGACGGGUGAGUAACACGUGGAUAACCUACCUAUAAGACUGGGAUAACUUCGGGAAACCGUAGCUAAUACCGGAUAAUAUUUUGAACCGCAUGGUUCAAAAGUGAAAGACGGUCUUUCUGUCACUUAUAGAUGGAUCCGCGCUGCAUUAGCUAGUUGGUAAGGUAACGGCUUACCAAGGCAACGAUGCAUAGCCGACCUGAGAGGGUGAUCGGCCAAACUGGAACUGAGACACGGUCCAGACUCCUACGGGAGGCAGCAGUAGGGAAUCUUCCGCAAUGGGCGAAAGCCUGACGGAGCAACGCCGCGUGAGUGAUGAAGGUCUUCGGAUCGUAAAACUCUGUUAUUAGGGAAGAACAUAUGUGUAAGUAACUGUGCACAUCUUGACGGUACCUAAUCAGAAAGCCACGGCUAACUACGUG